rnacentral:rRNA from 1 species
CAGUAGCCGCGGGAAUACAGAGGGUGCGAGCGUUAAUCGGAUUUACUGGGCGUAAAGCGUGCGUAGGCGGCUUCUUAAGUCGGAUGUGAAAUCCCUGAGCUUAACUUAGGAAUUGCAUUCGAUACUGGGAAGCUAGAGUAUGGGAGAGGAUGGUAGAAUUCCAGGUGUAGCGGUGAAAUGCGUAGAGAUCUGGAGGAAUACCGAUGGCGAAGGCAGCCAUCUGGCCUAAUACUGACGCUGAGGUACGAAAGCAUGGGGAGCAAACAGGAUUAGAUACCCCGGUAGUCCUGUCUCUUAUACC